rnacentral:snRNA from 1 species
GUCCCUUCGGGAACAUUCGAUCAAAUUAGAACGAUACAGAGAACAUUAGCAUGGUCCCUAAGCAAGGAUGACACGCAUAAAUCAAGUAAACCUUCCUAUUAGA